GGACUAAGAAGUAGAAAGUAAAAAUCUGUACUUUUUGUAUCAUGGUCUAUAGAGAGCUAUACCAAAGCUGGUUAUUCCCGAAAGUUCAGGAGCUACUUAAGAUGUAAUGUGGUCUGUUUCAUAAUACCUGCUAAGCGUUAAAGUAGCGGCGACAUACCAAUCGCAUGGGCUGAUAGCUGGUUGUUACGAAAACAUACUUUAGUAUGGGGGGACUGAAUUCAGCUUUCUCUAUUAUUUUUAGUGAAAAGCAAAGCAGUCUUAUUCGGGCUGUUGGGGAUAAGCUGAGCAGGAUAGAAAUGUAUGGGUUAAUGUGGUAGGGUUAGUAGUGCCCAACCUUAAAAGUUUUGUCCAAAAUAAUUACAUAUCAAGAUUAAUAGUAUUAUACGUAACCCAUCCAAUUAAUUUUAAUGUAUGGAUUAGUAUAGAAUGAGUAGCUAUUUUAUAUAGUAUGGGCUUUUCUUAUUAAGAAUUUGCCAUUACAAGUUGUAAAUAAAAAUCUAGAUUUUUCUAAGGAACUCGGCAAACAUUUUCUGCGCCUGUUUAACAAAAACAUCUCUUCUAGUAUGAUAUUAGAAGUAGGCCCUGCCCGGUGCCUUGCGAGGUAAACGGCGGUGUUAAACCUUAAAGUAGCGUGAUAAGUCGGCCUUUAAUUGGGGUCUGGUAUGAAAGGGUUGACGUCGGAAAAACUGUCUCGGAAGAAUUAAGUGAAAUUUACUUUUAAGUGAAAAGGCUUAAAUUAAAGUAAAAGACGAGAAGACCCUGUCGAGCUUGAGGGAUUUGAAUGUUUAUUAAACGUGAUUAGGAGUUUGGCUGGGGCAGCAAUGGAGGUAGCCUCCGUUUUUAGCGCAUAGAUCCAUUUUAUCUAAGAUAAUGAAAAAAGAAAAAAGCUACCGCAGGGAUAACAGCACAAGACCGCCUCAGAGGUCGUAUCGAAGGCGGUAAGUGUGACCUCGAUGUUGGAUUAGGGUAAACCUCUUUGUGCAGGAGCAAAGCGGGUAGGACUGUUCUUCCUUUAAUCCCCUACAUGAUCUGAGUUAAGACCGGCGUGAGCUAGGUCGGUUUCUAUCUUUAAAAAAGGCUGGCUCUCGUACGAAAGGAUCGAGGUGGCUAAGAUUUUAGGCUUAUGUUUUAUCCCUAAUAUUAAUUAAUUACCAGCGUUUUAGUGGAAUGGGGUGUAUGAUAGUAUCUGUAGUUGCGUGAAUUACGUU
rnacentral:rRNA from 1 species